rnacentral:rRNA from 1 species
GAUGAACGCUAGCGGCAGGCCUAACACAUGCAAGUCGAGGGGCAGCACGUCUUCGGAUGGUGGCGACCGGCGCACGGGUGCGUAACGCGUAUGCAACCUACCUCUUACAGUGGGAUAGCCCAGAGAAAUUUGGAUUAAUACCGCAUAGUAUGCGACAUCAGCAUUGAUGACGUAUUAAACAUUUAUGGGUAAGAGAUGGGCCUAUGGCCUAUCAGCUAGUUGGUGCGGUAAAAGCGCACCAAGGCUAUGACGGUAGCAGGCGUGAGAGCGCGACCAGCCACACUGGAACUGAGACACGGUCCAGACUCCUACGGGAGGCAGCAGUAGAGAAUAUUGGACAAUGGGCGAAAGCCUGAUCCAGCCAUGCCGCGUGAUAGAUGAAGGCCCUCUGGGUUGUAAAUAUCGUUUUUAUAAGGGAAGAAUUUGUGACGGUACCUUAUGAAUAAGAGGUUGCUAACUCUGUGCCAGCAG